rnacentral:lncRNA from 1 species
AGUCCUUCGCCGUCCCUCGCCGUCCUUCGCCAUCGCACGCCACCGCACCCCAUCUCUCGAAAUCUGCAGACAUCUUGAUUUUUCCCACGCUGUCUGUCAGGUCUCCGCCGCCACUCGACGCCAGGGCGCCGGGCCUUGUGGGCUGUGCUGCACCUCGGACGGCUUCGCACCAGCCAGCGCCCUCUCUCUCCUGCAGCACUCUGAUCUGCACCCCCUGAGGGGCUUCCACUGUCCGCGGGGUGAGAAUGCCCCUGGGAGUGUCACAUGACUGCCGCCCCAUGUGUGUGAGAGGCGUCCUCUGGGAGAGCAUGGAUCCUGAGGUCCCAGGGAGUGGUAAGUGAUCUCUGGGAGUCAGAAGCAGCAUCUGUAAUCUUAGGCUGUAAGUCUGCUCAUUGCCCUGUCAGCUGUUCUGUUCCAGGAUUGUCAGCUGACCUCUGUCCUGUGUGCCCAGUGGCCCCAGGUGACGUGUCUUCAAGAAGAGGCUGAGCUGCGGUGCUUGUAAGAGUCAUGUGCUGUUCCUGGGGCUUGGAUGAUGUAGGGGAAGCAAGGUGAAAGUGGUAUCCCGUGGUUCCACGUUCUGUCCUGCUGUGGGGCUGUCCCUCACAUGCUUUCAGUGGCUGUUGCAGAGGAAGAGCCUCCGGAAAUCUGCGUGGGUAAAGUCUCAGCCUUAGAUCCAAGGACAGUCCAAGGAAGUCCUAAGACCAUGGAGUUGGUGAUCUGGGAUCUGGGUUUGCUGAUAUUUCUCACCGUGAAUCUCUUGGUGGUGUUUGUGGGCACGAGAGGGGCAGAGAAUGGAGAGUGAGGCUACCACAUGAAGCGUCACCAGAGCUGCUCCCUGCUGCCUGCUCAGAGCACCCCGGAUCCACUGUUCAAUCUGCACAAGAUUCGGGGUCCAGACAUGGGAGACUUCAGCUGCCUCAGAGGACCGUGGACAGGGAAGGCCAGCCUCGCAUCCCUCUGUCCAUGCCUGGAAUGACUUUAAUAACCAAGAGUUUUAUUUUUGAAUUUGUAGCUGUCGUUCACUUUUUACCCACCCAUUCAAUAAACCUUACAGAAUUGCUCCA